GACGAACGCUGGCGGCGUGCCUAAUACAUGCAAGUUGAGCGCUGAAGGUUGGUACUUGUACCAACUGGAUGAGCAGCGAACGGGUGAGUAACGCGUGGGGAAUCUGCCUUUGAGCGGGGGACAACAUUUGGAAACGAAUGCUAAUACCGCAUAAAAACUUUAAACACAAGUUUUAAGUUUGAAAGAUGCAAUUGCAUCACUCAAAGAUGAUCCCGCGUUGUAUUAGCUAGUUGGUGAGGUAAAGGCUCACCAAGGCGAUGAUACAUAGCCGACCUGAGAGGGGUAUGGGCCCAAUUGGGACUGAAAACCGGCCAAAAACCCACGGGGAGGCAGCGGUGGGGAAUUUUGGGAAAUGGGGGAAAGUUUGCCCGAACAACCGCGGGUGGGGGAAAAAGUUUUUCGGAUCGAAAAACUCUUUUGGUGGGGAAAAACGUUGGGGGGAGGGGAAAGCUCAUCAAGUGACGGAAACUACCCAGAAAGGGGCGGCUAACUACGU
rnacentral:rRNA from 1 species